rnacentral:misc_RNA from 1 species
GUAGGUGAACCUGCGGAAGGAUCAUUACAGAGAACAUGCCCUCCAGGGUAGAUCUCCCACCCUUUGUUUACCUUACCUUUGUUGCUUUGGCGGGCCCGUCUUACGACUACCGGCUCAGGCUGGUCAGCGCCCGCCAGGGGAUCUCAAAUUCUUAAUUUACGUCCGAGUUAGUAUAAAAUAUUUUAAAACUUUCAACAACGGAUCUCUUGGUUCUGGCAUCGAUGAAGAACGCAGCAUCUGACUGACUUCA